rnacentral:misc_RNA from 1 species
ACUUUAUUGCUAACGCUAUAUAAGUAUCAGUUUCUGU